CCAAACUUGGUCAUUUAGAGGAAGUAAAAGUCGUAACAAGGUUUCCGUAGGUAAGUUAAUAAUUAAGAUUCCUCUAUCUUUUAUUUUAAAUAUCUUAACUAACAUAAUUUUCUUAGGUGAACCUGCGGAAGGAUCAUUGAAAAGUUUUUGGUUUAAUUUAUUAAACCUAACUUUCUAAACCUUUGUUUAAUUAAUUAUUUUUUUGCUUUGAUAAAGCAGAUUUUUUCAAAAUCGAUUGGAAAAUUUUUAAUUAAUUUUCUAAUUUGUCUUUAUCAAUAGCCUAAAUUAAAAUUCAUUUUUAAUUAAAAAGUCUGAAAUUUUUUAAUAAAAAAAAUUAAAAAAAAACUUUCAACAACGGAUCUCUUGGUUCUGGCAUCGAUGAAGAACGCAGC
rnacentral:misc_RNA from 1 species